rnacentral:misc_RNA from 1 species
UGGUGGCUUUCUUGGUGGGUGCAGAGUGAGCACAAUGAUUAAAUAUUAUUUUUCUUUUUACGUUUUAUUUUUAAUUUACAAGAAUGUUAUUAGUUCUUUCUUAAAAGCCAUUGGCGAUUUGGACCCAUCUCUUGUCUCCCACUAUCUUUUAAUGGGUUCUCACUGUUUUUCUCUAUCUUCUUCUCUUCCUCUUCUUUGCAGUUCUUUAUAAAGAAGAAUACAAUUUUUCUUUCAUAUCAUUGGUCUGUGCUUCUUAAAGACCUUAU